CCAAGACCCUGGGAUCAUGACCUGAGCCAAAACCAAUAGUUGGACCCUCAACUGACUGAGCCAUCCAGGAACACUGAAUAGUAUUCCAUCAGAUGCACAUAUCAUGCAUAUUUGUUGACAGACAUAUAGGUUGUUUCUAGUUUGGAGCUAUUAUAUAUAAAGAUGAUAUGAAAAUUAAUAUAUAAGUAUUUGUAUCAACAUAGUUUUCAUUUCACUUGAGUAAAAUACUGGAAGUAUCACUGUUGGGUUGUAUGGUAAGUAUAUGUUAACAAAGAAACUGCCAAACUGUUUUCUGAGGUGGCUGUACAAUUUUACAUUCUCUUCAGAAAUGUAUGAGCAUUUAUUCUGUUAUUCCCUGUCUUUUCUAACACUUGGCAUCAUCAAGCUUUUUAAUUUUAGCCAUUUUAGUAGAUCUCUAAUUUUUUAAAGCAUCCCUUACUUAGCAACUGUUUCCUUGUUGUGAAUUCUAGAACCUAGAGGAGUUGUAUACUUCCCUUAGGAGAGAAUGUUAACUUGGUUGUAAGACUCUUUGGCUAUUGAGCAGGAUGCCAAGAUAAAAAGGACUCAAGACACAAAUGAUGAAAGGAUCAAGCAGCCUUUGUUGCACAGGUGGUCACAGAGGCGGAAGAACCCAAAGGCCAUGUCCUGCACAGUGCAACUGCCUCAGAAGUGCAGGAGGCAGGUUGUUUGAUCUCAUUCUGCUCUUAGAACACAUCGUGCUGUUCAAAGGCUCCUCCACCACACUCCACACAUGCACACAGACACACAAUGAGCAACGUGGGAGUCACAUUGUCAUUGUGCCACCUUCUCGAGCUCACCUACUCUUUGCAAGAGAAUGUCAAGAUUUUAAAUAGCAUUUUACUUACAUCAUUUGAAACGGGAAAUGCCAUUCAUCAUCAAGCUACUAUCUGUUUAAGUACUUUGUGCAUGGUGAUUUGGUAUGGUUGAUAACUGUAAUUAAUGAGAUGGGGUCUGUUAUUUACCUCAAAACAAGUUUUCUUUAGGGACCCCAUAUGAUGGAGUGCUCUUUGCAUAAUAUGCUUCCUUAAUGAGCACAAUUGUUUUUUGACCAAAAUGUUAUCUGCAAGCUUAGCCCAUUAAUCACAUUGUUAAAUACAUACCAAAUAAAUAAUUGUGUAAAUAAAUAUUUUUUAAUCUGGAUGAA